rnacentral:ncRNA from 1 species
UCGCGGGUGACUGCGAAUCUGAAGGAAGCCCGAGGCAAAAUGCUGGCCUGACGAACAGGAAGCGGAUGAGGCGGCGUGGCGGGGUAAGACGGCGCAUUUCGUCAAAGCCCAAUACUUGCACGGAACGCCACGACGUAGAUCCGACAGGCCUAAGCAGGAAGGUCGCGCGA